AACGAACGCUGGCGGCAGGUCUUAGGCAUGCAAGUCGAACGGGUGUAGUAAUACACCAGUGGCGAACGAGUGAGUAACGCGUGGGAAUCUGCCCAUCUCUGGGGAAUAACGUUUGGAAACGAACGCUAAUACCGCAUACGCCCGCAAGGGGAAAGAUUUAUCGGAGAUGGUAUGAGCCCGCGUUGGAUUAGUUAGUUGGUGGGGUAACGGCCUACCAAGGCGAUGAUCCAUAGCUGGUCUGAGAGGACGAUCAGCCACGCUGGAACUGAGAUACGGUCCAGACUCAUUCGGGAGGCAGCAGCUAAGAAUAUUGGGCAAUGGAGGAAACUCUGACCCAGCCAUGCCGCGUGAAUGAAGAAGGCCUUCGGGUUGUAAAGUUCCUUUAGUCGUGACGAUGAUGACGGUAGCGACAGAAAAGGCACCGGCUAACUUCGUGCCAGCAGCCGCCGUAA
rnacentral:rRNA from 1 species